rnacentral:lncRNA from 1 species
CAGAGAUUCAUGUGAUGUUGGCAGGAUGGAAUUUGAAGUGAAGAGGAUGCUGUGAGCCAAAGGGUUUCGUCCUCUUCAGGGCAGAGGUGUGUUGGUGGGUGGAUAUUGUUGCUUUGCUUAAUGAAGAUCAGUUUCUACUCUUUUGGUAGCGGCACCCAGAUUUUCCUUGGAGAACUGCCCCUCCCUCUCUGUCAAGGUAACUUAAGUGCAACUGACCUCCCUCCUGAGUCCAGGAAAGGCAUGUGACCCAUGCCUGUCCAAUCAAAGCAUUCACACACACCCCAGCCAAUUGGUUGGUUCAGAGAUGGGGGCGUGUAACACAAAUUAGACCAAUCCGAGCCAAUGAAACUCAUUCUGGGUUUUUAUUGACUGCUGAAGGUGAGGCAUGAUCUUUCCACUGGGAAUGCUGAUAUGAUGAAAUGUAAGCAGCUGUCAUCCUUUUUCUUUUCAUGUAAAUAACCCGAUUGAAGUUUAAUCUGCAUACUCUAUACACUUUUAAGUAUACAAGUCAAUGUUUUUAGUAACUUUACUGAGUUGUGCAACCGUCACUGUAACUCUGGUUUUAAGACACUUUUUUGGGGGGGCAGCACUCCUGGCAUGCAGGAAUUCCCAGGCUAGGGUCAAACCCAAGUCACAGCAGUGAGUGGCAACACUGAGUCCUUAAUGGCUAAAACACCAGGGAGCUCCUUGAGACACUUUCAUCACCCCAUAAGAUCCUCCUACCCCUUUGAGGUUAAUCCAGAAUCCCUCCCCUCAGCCCCAGGCCAUGGCUAAUCUAUUUGUCUCUGCUUAAGGCUUCCAGUGUUAUUGUCGCAUGGAAAGGAGGUCCUGUCUGGGAUGAGCAAGAUGGGAAAUUGAGGCUGAGAACUGAGUCCUGUGAAGUUAUUUGAGCACCUGGAUUGAACCAUCGCUGAGUCUUUGUUCCUGGAAUUUCCAUUUAUUAGAGGCAAUACAGGACUCUUACCUGUAAAAGUUGGGGGAGGGGGGAUGUGUGUGCACACACACAUUUGUGAACUAGUUUGUUGUUUUCUGUCUCAUGUAACUGGAAUUAUCUUGACAUCCAUAUCCGGAUUAUACAUUUAACUCCAGGAGACAGAGACAAAAACACAGAGGAGAGAGAUCUCAAGAUGAAAUGAAUAAGGGUUAGGUUUUCUGGUGACAAAAAGCUGGUUAUCACAUAUAAAGUCAUCAUUCCCAGCUAAGUUGGUGAUGUGUUAACUGCUCCUUUGGGCAAUAGAUAUUUGCAUGCCUGCGUAUUAAUUUUUUAUAUCACGACCUGUUCAAAAAGGAAGACUUCCAGAGAUGCUGACAAGACAGGAAGAUUAAGUACAUUUAAGAUAAAGACAAAUGAAGCAAAGGGGAAAUGUGGGCUGGGAAGGAAACUGAAACUAAAAGCUUAGUAAACAAAAGGCUUAUAACAUGUGGACUUAGGCACAAUUACCAAAGACAGAUGAUGGCUGAACUCCAGACUUGAGAAUAACCAAAAUUAAGAAGGAAAUAGUCUUAGUUUCUAACCAUGAUGUUUAUGAGUUUUCAAAACCAACUAACUGCUGAAAAGUCUCUCUUUAGCUACUUCCCAGUGCAGUUUGCUAAAAGGCAUUUUAAAGGAUAUGACACCAUGCACAGGGAGCACAAGGCUGGAUUCAUGUUCAGAGACUAGGUGCUCUGUGCUAAGUACCAUCCACACAACACUAGCAAUAUUAGGUUAGUUAGGAAUGCUCUGGGCUGCAGGAUAUGUUAACAACAAGAACUCUGGAGAGAACGUGGGAAUUCCUGGGCUUGAGUGGUUCAGUGACUCAAAGAUGUCUUCAGAAAGCCAGGGUCUUUUGAUCUUUCUGCUUGGCUUCCCUCAGAUUUUUGGCUUCCUCCUUCUGGCUCAAAUAGUUAUUUCUGUCCCAUUAGACAUCACAUCCUCAGUCAAGAAAGGAAGAAGAAUAGGGUCAGUCGUCUCAUCGUUUCUUAUCAAGAAUGGAAAAGCCUUCCCCCUAAGUAGAUAUGCCCUUAAUUAUAAUUGACUGGAAUUGGAUCACCUCUCCCUUCAAGGUAGG